rnacentral:lncRNA from 1 species
UGAGGACAGAUAAUUUUGGGGGGAUGGAUACCGGAAAUUGAACCCAGGGGCACUCAACCACUGAGUCACAUUCCCAAUUUUAUUUAGAGACAGGGUCUCACUGAGUUGCUUAGCAUCUUGCCAUUGCUGAGGCUGGCUUUGAACUCACCAUCCUCUUGCCUUAGCUUCUUGAGCCGCUGGGAUUAUAGGCAUGCACCACCAUGCCUGGUGAGGGAAGAUAAAUUUUUAAUGCUGUAUUAUAAUUCAAUAUGUUUGUAAAGCAAUUCUUCUAUUGCCAUAUAUUUAGGUUGUUUCCAUUAUUAUAAAUCAUCCAUGAUCCAUGAUUUCUAAUCAUCCAUGAUUUAUAAUAGUUGAUCAUCAACCAUUAUAAAUCAUCAAUGGCUAAUACCAGCUCUUGUCUCUGCAGCAUCCCAAAGCAUGAACAGCUGACCUCCCUCUUUCCUGAAUCUCUGACCUUUAUAGCAUUGCAUUGACUCCUAAACCUGCAAAAUGAGUGCUCUCCAGGGUCCUGAACUAAGAUUCUACCUCCCUCUUGUCUCCAUCUUCUGCCUGGAAAAUGGGGAAGUACUUUAUCUCUUUUCCCUGCUCCUCUUCCUAAUUGUCUUUUUCACCCUUAUCUUUCCCUUCUUAUUACACACAUUUCCCCUUCCCCUUCUGUAACAGUUUCCUAGGGAUUCCAUAACAAAAAACAGGCUGGGUGACCUAACCAAGGAAGAUUUACAUUCUCACUUUCAUCCCAAGAUUGAAGUAUCCGAGGCCUCUUUCCUUGGCUUGUAGGCAGUUGUCUUCUCCCUGUGUGUGUAUCCACAUUUCUUCUUUAUAUAAGAAUGUAUAAGAAUAUUCAGUUAAGCCAAUCCUAGGAACAUAAUUUCAUUUUAACUUAUUUCUAUAAAGAUUCUAUCUAUAUAAGUUAUACUCCAUGUAUGUAUUAUGUGUCAAAAUAUACUGUCACAUAUAUCUAAAAAGAACAAAAAAAAGAUUAUAUCUAUAAAUGCAGUCACAUCUGGGGUACUGGGUUGGAAUUUCAACAUAUGGAAUUUAAGAAAAAUACAAUAAAGCCUAUAAUACUCUUCCUCUACUUUCUCCCCAUUUCCUUCCAAAUGUUGGCCAUUGGUUACCACUUUUAUUGGAUUCUCUUUGCCUUAGAGCUGAAGGGAUAGUUGUUGAUGAGAAACGCCCCACUGGAAUGAACUGCGGGGAGGAACUCCUUGACAACAGAUGAUAUUUCUAGCUCACUUUGCUUCUCACCUCUCCCUGGGGCCCCCUCAACACAUGUAUAUGUACACACCUCAGCAGGUAGUAUUGUUAAGGCAUAACUUUAUCCAACAUAACUCCAGCCCAGAGCUUGCUAUAACCUUGUAGGCCACAUUGCAAGGAGUCAUUCAUACAACUUUGGAAUUCAGAAGCCAUUCUAGAGCUAGUGUCAAUAUUUACAUCCUAUCAUCCACUUUAUCUCCCUCUUGCCAUCUUUUUAAUCUCCCAGGUUUUCUUCUUAUAAAAAAUUGAAUAAAUGUCAUUCAUAGCCAUGACAUUAAAUGUCAUCUCUCUGAAGUAUGUUUUACAAAUCUUCCCUCCAAUUUCAGAAACUGCAUUGGAUGUUGCCAUGUGUAUGUUCCAACUCAAAAGAUCCUGUACGGAGGAUGUGACAGUCCCAUCCAAACUAUUGUCUCCCCCUGGCUUUUCUAAGCCUGUUACUGACAACCAUUCUUUCACACACCCAGGUUUGAAUCUUUAGAGUCUUUUUUUUAAUGGACACAUAUCUUUAUUUUGUUUAUUUAUUUUUAUGUGGUGCUGGAAUUGAACCCAGUGACUCACAAGUGCAAGGCAAGCACUCUGCCACUGAGCCACCACCCCAGCCCACCUUAGAGUCAUUUUUAAGAACUUUUGAUUUUUUUCCUUCUAUGUGGAAUUAAGUGGCAAGUCCACAACAUGGUGACUCCCAAAGUAUACAUAAGAGUUAACCAGAGAGUCUUGUUGAAAAUGUGGAAUCCAAAGCCUUGCUCUCCAAAUAUUCCAGUCUAAUAGAUCUAAGAUGGUGUACAGGAGUGCCUCCAAGUGAUUCCACUCAUAUUGGCCUUGGACCACACUUUAAGAAAUAUUGCUGUAGAGCCUGCUUCUAAAAUGUCUUUGGUUCUCUUCUUCCUUCUCCUGACUCUGCUUAGUACAGGCUUCAUUUGCUCUUGCCUAACUUUAUAAUGGCCUCCUAAUUGAUCCAUGGGGCUUCCUUACCCCAUCCCACAUUGUGCUGCCAGAUUCAGCUUACUGAAUUACUAUCUCUGAAAUCUUUAAACCCCACCAUCAGUCCACCCCUCCACUGCCCAGACAGUCAAGUACAAGCUCCCAAGAUAGAAGAUCAAGACCAGUUCCCUGUCAUGAGUUUUCAAACCCUCUACUUUCUGCCAUGUGCCCUAUUUUUCAGUCAUACUAAAACCAUACUUUUUUCCAGGAAAAUAUCCUGAAUUCUCUUUCCUUGGUGCUUUAUGCUAUUACAUUUACUUGGAUUUUCCUUUUGUUUACAAAUAUCCACGCACCAAAAUCCCACCCAUAAUUUAAGACUCAUUUUAAAUACCACUUUUUUUAAAAAAAAACUAAAAUUUCAAUAUUUUUC